rnacentral:rRNA from 1 species
GACGAACGCUGGCGGCGUGCCUAAUACAUGCAAGUAGAACGCUGAAGGAGGAGCUUGCUCUUCUGGAUGAGUUGCGAACGGGUGAGUAACGCGUAGGUAACCUGCCUGGUAGCGGGGGAUAACUAUUGGAAACGAUAGCUAAUACCGCAUAACAGUAGAUGUUGCAUGACAUUUGCUUAAAAGGUGCAAUUGCACCACUACCAGAUGGACCUGCGUUGUAUUAGCUAGUUGGUGGGGUAACGGCUCACCAAGGCGACGAUACAUAGCCGACCUGAGAGGGGGAUCGGCCACACUGGGACUGAGACACGGCCCAGACUCCUACGGGAGGCAGCAGGAGGGAAUCUUCGGCAAUGGACGGAAGUCUGACCGAGCAACGCCGCGUGAGUGAAGAAGGUUUUCGGAUCGUAAAGCUCUGUUGUAAGAGAAGAACGAGUGUGAGAGUGGAAAGUUCACACUGUGACGGUAGCUUACCAGAAAGGGACGGCUAACUACGUG